AUCCGACUGACGAGUUCUGAAUAGGACGAAACACGCGUCAAACAGGAU
rnacentral:hammerhead_ribozyme from 1 species